GGAAGACUGCCUCCCACCUUCGGACCGUGGAUCGGAUAAACGGUGCCCUGGCAUCACGAAGUGAACAAGCAUUCAAGAUAUCUGCUUCCUGUCAGUGAAUAGGGAGCUCGAUCUGCUUAUUUCCCGGUUAUGAAAUAUUUUUUUAGUCAUCUUAGAGAACUCAGGUUAAACCUUUAUAAAGCAUUGAACCUGCUUAGGAAUCCAAUGAUACUGGAAUUUCCCACUGUUUGAUGUUCAGGACACUAGGAAAGAUAAUAUCACUUUUGAAACUAUAAGGCAGGGGCCAUACUGGGGAAUAUCUGGCCGCAGCAGAAUCACAGCAGCGGUCAAAAUGAGAGUAUGCGGUUUGAAGAUAGAUUUGUCUGCCAGGACUCCGGUGGUAGUUUUACUCUUUGAUUCCAGUGUUUGCAAUCGUUACCCUUUGUGCCUUAGCCCUAUUAACACUGCCAAACAUUUGAUCUGUGGCAGACGCAGACUCAUCAGUUGGCACUAGGAAAUGUGCAGUCUCCCUAAACGACAAUGCAUUUCUGAGUGGAUUCCGCAGAAGGAAUUGGCAUGUCAAGAAGCGUAAAUUUCGCAGCAUUUGUUUCCACUGCAGAAAUUUUGCUGUGUGCCUUGUGCCGCAGAGUCACAUUGAAAACAAUAGGACCCUGCUGCAAUGGAAAUACCAAGCUGAAUUUUUCCACCUGAUUCCGCUCAGAAAUUCUGCAGUGUAAAUGGGGCCUUACUGUUCCAGUUUAUACAAAAAACAAAAGCUGUGACUUAAAUGGCUUACUUACUAACUCUCAUGGGUAAUUACUUUUCAGUAUAUAAUUAAUGAUGACUGAAAAUAACCCAGAUUAUAUAUUUAACACAAUGCUGGAGCCCACAUGUUUAAUAUAUUACUGUCAUUGCUCCAUUUAGGAGUAAAAUAAACACAAAAUGAGUGUGAAAUGUUUAACACAUAUUCUCACGCUGUCGUACUGCAAAUAUAUACACCAAAGUACUAAAUUAUUUCUUAAAAUGAAACUUUAAUCCUUCCUCAUUGCCUCCGAUGCUUAUUUCCGCAGCAUACAUUCAUCGAGUAGAUAAGGCUUUUAAACAUUGAUGUGAUUAAGGUUUUAUCCUUGUAAGUUUAAGUUAAAAAACAAAAGAGUCUGAAAAAAAAGUAAUGUCACAAUAUGGCAUUUCCACACACAGACAAUAAGGGAGCUUGUAGCUACUGUUUUCUUGCUAAAGGCAAUAGUUUAGUAGGGACCAUUAAAGGCCUCUCAAGGGAUCUACCUACCAGAAUAAUAGCUAUCUUUUUUGACAAUAUCUAUGUGAGCUAAGCUUUGCUGCUGACAGUUUAAACUACCAGUGGACAGUGAAACUUAGCUGUGGAGCAGGGAAAGCCUUCAGAUCCAGCU